CAUUAUACAUAACUACGUUAAAGUGUAGCUAACAUAUGUACAGUAAGAGUGAGACCUAUCAGCUAGUUGUUAAGGUAAUGGCUUAACAAGGCAAUAACGGGUAACGGUAUUACUUUGUAAUAUUCCGGAGAAGGAGCCUGAGAGACGGCUACUAAGUCUAAGGAUUGCAGCAGGGGCGAAACUUGACCUAUGGAUAUUAUCUGAGGCAGUUAUGGGAAGUAACAUAGUUGUUUCACAUUUUAAACGUAUGUGAGCAGAUUAAUUGGAGGGCAAAUCGAGUGCCAGCAGCCGCGGUAAUACUUGUUCCAAGAGUGUGUAUGAUGAUUGAUGCAGUUAAAAAGUCCGUAGUUUAUUGUUAAGAAGCAAUAUGAGGUGUACUGUAUAGUUGGGAGAGAGAUGAAAUGUGACGACCCUGACUGGACGAACUGAAGCGAAAGCUGUACACUUGUAUGUAUUUUUUGAACAAGGACGUAAGCUGGAGGAUCGAAGAUGAUUAGAUACCAUUGUAGUUCCAGCAGUAAACUAUGCCGACGAUGUGAUAUGAGAUGUUGUAUUACAUUAUAGAAAUUAGAGUUUUUUGGCUCUGGGGAUAGUAUGAUCGCAAGAUUGAAAAUUAAAGAAAUUGACGGAAGAAUACCACAAGGAGUGGAUUGUGCGGCUUAAUUUGACUCAACGCGAGGUAACUUACCAAU
rnacentral:rRNA from 1 species